UGUUGUUGGCUGGUUUUAUACAUACACGCCUGGGUCCCUGGGGUCUCCGUUAGAGGAUCCUGUGCCCCCAACCACCCCAGCUUAUUUCCUAGGGUUACAGGUCAGUAAGGUAGUUGGGCCGUUUACCUACUCACUUUUUUCAUGAAUCUCUUUUGACAGCUACCAAAGAAGAGACAACAUCCAGCAGCAGCCACUCCCGCAGGACUCCAGGGAACAAGGAUGGAAUGAGAAUUGAGAAGCAGAGCUGAGCUGUGACUCAAGCACCGGGCUGGCUGCCACACAGCAUCCCUGUGACACUCAGAUGCCAGCUAACGUGUUCUAAUAAAACUAACCAGUCACAUCGGUCAAACCCUACCUUGAUCCGGUGAUGGGCCCCUGCCCACCCCAAAAUUUCCCGCGUGUUCAUGAAAGACGACUAACUCCAGAACGGAACAUGACGCACGUGCCGAGACAUCAGCAUUGAGUAAGCACCCGCUGUGGGCCAGGCCCGGUCUCAGGACAGCUGCGCGCCCUCCAGACUCCACGGUCCUACAGACAAUGAAUAUUAUGCAACCAAAAUGUCCUGGGAAUUCAGAGCCAAAGGCAGCAUUCUUAGGAAAUGCCUCCCACUCUCCUGCCAUGGCAUAGAGCUCUGCUGGGCUCUGGACCUGCAGAGAAGAUGCUGGGGCUUGUGGGAGGCCAGGAAAGGAAGAGGCCCUCGUCACAAUGCUCCUGAGACGGUGAGGCAGGGGUUUCCCUUACACUCCCUGUUCCCAAGUAUGUGAAGAUAAUUCCACGCAGCAUUUUUCAAAGCCAACUGGAACGAGUUACUGUAAGCAGUCUUUCCAUAAAAGAUCACUCUUUGAGAAUACUUGUUUUCAUAUUUGUGCUAUUUUUGACAUUUUAGGAAGCAAAAUUACAUGCAAACAUUUGUUCUGCAAACCCAAAGUGUGAAGAAAGAUGCAUUCAAAUACUAAAAAAAGCUGCGUGCCUCUAGAUUUCAAAAAUCUUUUUAGUUUUCACAAAGACCCACUGACGAGAUCAUUAUUUCAGCUCAUGCUUCCCACAGAGUAUCAUGUAUUUAAAGUCAAAGAAAAUGGGACAGACACAGCCGCUGAGGGAGAUGCUGUGUUCAUUACACAAGUUUUGUUUACAUCACUUGGGACCCUGUGAGAUGCAUCUCCAUGGAAGCGGUUUCAGCCUGCCAGCUCUGCUGCCAGAAUUACUACCGUGGGCUUUGAAGGUUUAUCACAAUAUAGUAAAUGAAGUCAGAAUUUCUAAUAGGAUAUAAAAACAAUGUUAAGUAUCUAAAUCCUUAUUUGAUGUCAAAUGUACCGUAGUUGAGAAAAAUGGUUUCUUC
rnacentral:lncRNA from 1 species